UACGGAGGGUGCGAGCGUUGUCCGGAAUCACUGGGCGUAAAGGGCGCGUAGGUGGCGCGGGAAGUCAACGGUGAAAGUUCGGGGCUCAACCCUGAAUCGGCCGUCGAUACUCCCGGGCUCGAGCACUGUAGAGGCAGAUGGAAUUCCGGGUGUAGCGGUGGAAUGCGUAGAGAUCCGGAAGAACACCGGUGGCGAAGGCGGUCUGCUGGGCAGUUGCUGACGAGCUGAAGC
rnacentral:rRNA from 1 species